rfam:Corynebacterium durum F0235 genomic scaffold Scfld15, whole genome shotgun sequence.
CCAUGAUCGCUGCGAUGAUGUGCGACGGAGUCCGCAGCGGUCAAGGAAGAUUUCAGACGUCCAUCGCACCGUGCGGUUUUAUGCCCGUGCGGCCCGAACACGGGAGAGAACGCUGAGCGUUACAAC